GAUGAACGCUAGCGGCAGGCUUAACACAUGCAAGUCGAGGGGUAAGUCAUUUCGGUGACUGAGACCGGCGCACGGGUGCGUAACGCGUAUGUAAUCUACCUUUUACAGGGGGAUAGCCCAGAGAAAUUUGGAUUAAUACCCCAUAGUAUUAUUGAAUGGCAUCAUUUAAUAAUUAAAGUUCCAACGGUAAAAGAUGAGCAUGCGUCCCAUUAGCUAGAUGGUAAGGUAACGGCUUACCAUGGCGACGAUGGGUAGGGGUCCUGGGAGGGAGAACCCCCACACUGGUACUGAGACACGGACCAGACUCCUACGGGAGGCGGCAGUGAGGAAUAUUUGUCAAGGGGCGCUAGCCUGAACCAGCCAUGCCGCUUGCAGGAUGACGGUCCUAUGGAUUGUAAACUGCUUUUGUACGGGAAGGAACACUCCUACGUGUAGGAACUUGACGGUACCGUAAGAGUAAGGAUCGGCUAACUCCGUGCCAGCAGCCGCCGUAACAC
rnacentral:rRNA from 1 species